CCACUAUAAAGGUUGUACCCAAUCGCAAAGUCGGCCCAGUGCUCUAAAAACCCAAAACCCUCCUUCCUGCACCAAGACUUAAGCCACGCAUUGACCUCUCUAACCUCCCGCUGCCUUUCCACUGUAGCGCGUGGCACAGGUAAUAUCUCAGAGAAUACCACCUUGGACGUCCUUUUCUUAAGUUUGCUACCUAAUUCCCUGAAAUCAUUCUUUAGGACCUUCCAUCUUCCUCUUACUUUGUCAUUGGUACCAACAUGGACCAUGACCGCUGGGUCAUCCCCAGCCCCUCCCAAUAAUCCAUCCACUCUGUCAGCAACAUGCCGGACCUGAGCACCCAGGAGACAGCAAACUGUCCGGUUGAGCCGAUCAGAGCGGCAGAUUGCCCUAUCUGCUCUCCUAAUGAUAGAGUCCCCUACCACCACAACCUGUCUUGUCUUCCUUACAUUUUGAUCCCCACCCGUACUAGGGGGGCUGUUAGAAGUAACAGCUUCCUCUAAUACAGCUACUCCUGAGCUGAUGCUCCCAACAUCUUCCCUCAAACGGGCAAAUCUGCUAGGUUGCACCAAAUCAGGACUAGCU